GUGAACGCUGGCGGUAGGCCUAACACAUGCAAGUCGAACGGCAGCACAGUAAGAGCUUGCUCUUACGGGUGGCGAGUGGCGGACGGGUGAGGAAUACAUCGGAAUCUACUUUUUCGUGGGGGAUAACGUAGGGAAACUUACGCUAAUACCGCAUACGACCUACGGGUGAAAGCAGGGGAUCUUCGGACCUUGCGCGAUUGAAUGAGCCGAUGUCGGAUUAGCUAGUUGGCGGGGUAAAGGCCCACCAAGGCGACGAUCCGUAGCUGGUCUGAGAGGAUGAUCAGCCACACUGGAACUGAGACACGGUCCAGACUCCUACGGGAGGCAGCAGUGGGGAAUAUUGGACAAGGGGCGCAAGCCUGAUCCAGCCAUACCGCGUGGGUGAAGAAGGCCUUCGGGUUGUAAAGCCCUUUUGUUGGGAAAGAAAAGCAGCAGGUUAAUACCCCGCUGUUCUGACGGUACCCAAAGAAUAAGCACCGGCUAACUUCGU
rnacentral:rRNA from 1 species